rnacentral:rRNA from 1 species
GCCCUAAACCUCAGUAGUUAGAUAACAAAACUACUCGCCAGAAUACUACAAGCUAUAGCUUAAAACUCAAAGGACUUGACGGUGCUUUACACCCCCUAGAGGAGCCUGUUCCGUAAUCGAUAAACCCCGAUCCACCCCACCCUCUCUUGCUCAGCCUAUAUACCGCCAUCUUCAGCAAACCCUAAUGAGGGUCACAAAGUGAGCGCAAAUGCCAUUGCCGCAAACACGUUAGGUCAAGGUGUAGCCUAUGAGACGGUAAAAAAUGGGCUACAUUUUCUACCUCAGAAAAUUCCACGAAAACCCUUAUGAAAUUUAAGGGUCCAAGGAGGAUUUAGCAGUAAAUUAAGAAUAGAGUGCUUAAUUGAACCAGGCCAUAAAGCGCGCACACACCGCCCGUCACUCCUCUCAAAUAUAUUUAAGGAACAUCUUAACUAAACGCCCUAAUAUUUAUAUAGAGAGGAUAAGUCGUAACAUGGUAAGCGUACUGGAAGGUGCGCUUGGAUAAAU